rnacentral:rRNA from 1 species
UACAGAGGUCCCGAGCGUUGUUCGGAUUCACUGGGCGUAAAGGGUGCGUAGGUGGUGGGGAAAGUCGGAUGUGAAAUCUCGGAGCUCAACUCCGAAAUGGCAUUGGAAACUACCCUGCUUGAGGUUUGGAGGGGGGACUGGAAUUCUCGGUGUAGCAGUGAAAUGCGUAGAUAUCGAGAGGAACACCAGUGGCGAAGGCGAGUCCCCUGGAC